CAGCAGCCACGGUAAUACGAAGGGUGCAAGCGUUACUCGGAAUUACUGGGCGUAAAGCGUGCGUAGGUGGUGGUUUAAGUCCGUUGUGAAAGCCCCGGGCUCAACCUGGGAAUGGCAGUGGAUACUGGCUCGCUAGAGUGUGUCAGAGGAUGGUGGAAUUCCCGGUGUAGCGGUGAAAUGCGUAGAGAUCGGGAGGAACAUCAGUGGCGAAGGCGGCCAUCUGGGACAACACUGACGCUGAGGCACGAAAGCGUGGGGAGCAAACAGGAUUAGAUACCCCCGUAGUCCCUGUCUCUUAUAC
rnacentral:rRNA from 1 species